rnacentral:rRNA from 1 species
AUUGAACGCUGGCGGCAUGCCUUACACAUGCAAGUCGAACGGUAACAGGUCUUCGGAUGCUGACGAGUGGCGAACGGGUGAGUAAUACAUCGGAACGUGCCUAGUAGUGGGGGAUAACUACUCGAAAGAGUGGCUAAUACCGCAUGAGAUCUACGGAUGAAAGCAGGGGAUCGCAAGACCUUGUGCUAAUAGAGCGGCCGAUGGCAGAUUAGGUAGUUGGUGGGAUAAAAGCUUACCAAGCCGACGAUCUGUAGCUGGUCUGAGAGGACGAUCAGCCACACUGGGACUGAGACACGGCCCAGACUCCUACGGGAGGCAGCAGUGGGGAAUUUUGGACAAUGGGCGCAAGCCUGAUCCAGCAAUGCCGCGUGCAGGAUGAAGGCCUUCGGGUUGUAAACUGCUUUUGUACGGAACGAAAAGCCCCGGGUUAAUACCCUGGGGUCAUGACGGUACCGUAAGAAUAAGCACCGGCUAACUACGUGCCGGCCGCCGCGGUAA